rnacentral:lncRNA from 1 species
UUCAGAGUUGCAGAAACAAGACAUUUCAAGUGUCCUUAGGCUUUCCUCUGUGAAAUCAAACACUUCUCAUAGAAUACCGAGGUUACCAAACUCACAGAGCAUCUCAUUGAAGCAUAUGUUUUUGAACCAAAAGGCCACAGUGCUCAGUCUGAGGUCAGCAAUAGCUGUAACACCCAGCACACCCCAUACAAGAAUGAGCCAGUCACCUUAUAUGAGUCAGUCGUGAGAGACCUUGCUUGUCACUUUAGAUAAUUUUCACAAACAGACCAGUCAAGACCUGUGGAUCCAAUUGUUGGUAUCACUUAGUUGAGCAGAGUUUGCAAACCAGGACUUGAUGGGCCAGAUUGGCCAGCUCCUUAUGUCUCCCAUGUGCUGACGAGACUCCACCAACACUGCUGGUUGUACAUGGAGGUAUUUGGAGGGGCUGCCAGGCUCCCUGCAUCCCAUCAGAUUCCCACCAAAAGGCAUUCAAAGGGAAUUUUAAGCAUCAGGGUUAACCGUGCUCCAAGCAAAAGCAAAGGAAGAAAAAAUAACAUAGCUGUUAAUUGUUUUGAUUUUAAAAUGCAUCUCAUUAUAUGCAAAUUUAGUUGUGUUUCUUUUUUUUUUUUCCAGAGUAGUCAACUUUUGAAUAAAUCACACUGCUCCUGCCACUCACAGUGCUGUCAAGUUACUUGUCAAAAUCAACGUGGUCAGAGUUUCAGCAAAGUGCCUCAGCCGUUUCCUGGAAUGAAACUGGGGGCAGGGGAAGGAGAGGGAAAUGUUGUCAAGGCAACAGUAAUCCCAUUAUUUUCUAACUUCUGAGUGCCUGAGUAGGCAACCUUUAUCUUCUUUCUGUGCCGUUUUUGUACAUAAUAAUAACAGCCACAAUUAUUCUCAUCGGCUUUAAGAAAAGUGAAGCAGGAAUAGCGAAGGGACA